UUUUUGGCCCCUAAAUCCUACACUGUUGGAACUAAAAUUACCAAAAUCUAUCCCAACCCUCCUUAUGUGGCCAUAGACCUUAUGUUAAAAUAUCGUAGAUUUCUGUUUACUAAUACUUAAGUUAUCUUGUGUCUAAAUUUCAUAUAUUUCUAUUUUACUUUUACUGAAGUUAGAGUGCGAAAACCGAAUGUCUUUGGAUGAAGACGAUGAUGCCAACGUGAUACCAAUGUACAACCAAAAAGUUUUCAAUUUUUGCGGUUGUAUAAAAAUGAUCUCAAAUCAAAUUUUUAAUGGAGUUUGCAACAGUAAUUAUUCAACUACUCAUUUCAAUACAUCAUAAAGUAUUAAAGUGUAAAUGUCAUACAGUCAUGGUGAUGAUGCCUCCGCUAGCAUAUAACAUUAUAAAGGUACAUAAAUCAAGAACUGUAAAAGUGAAGC
rnacentral:lncRNA from 1 species